AAUCCCCUACAUUCCCUCCCACACGGGGCGGUGUACCUUGGGGGAGAAGGUUAGUUUGCCCUAGAAAGAAGAGGAAGCAGGCGCCCGAUGAUGACAGCGGAGGCGGAGGCGGGGACGGAGGCGGCCACGGAGGCGACGGCGACGGAGGCUGAGGAGGCGACGGCGACAGCGCGUCGUUCUUGCGUCUCGCGCGGGGUGUGCGAGCCGCGAGAUCUGACUCGAUGCUGGAAAGCCCCGUGGAUUGGGGAGGAUGUGACGGGAUAUUUG
rnacentral:lncRNA from 1 species